UACGUAUGGUGCAAGCGUUAUCCGGAUUUACUGGGCGUAAAGGGAGCGCAGGCGGCGCGCCAAGUCUGAUGUGAAACCCCGGGGCUCAACCCCGGGCAUGCAUUGGAAACUGGCGGGCUGGAGUGCCGGAGAGGUAAGCGGAAUUCCUAGUGUAGCGGUGAAAUGCGUAGAUAUUAGGAGGGACACCAGUGGCGAAGGCGGCUUACUGGACGGCAACUGACGCUGAGGCUCGAAAGCGUGGGGAGCAAACAGG
rnacentral:rRNA from 1 species